rnacentral:rRNA from 1 species
UACGUAGGGGGCGAGCGUUGUCCGGAUUUAUUGGGCGUAAAGAGCUCGUAGGCGGUUUGUUGCGUCGGCUGUGAAAUCCCGAGGCUCAACCUCGGGUCUGCAGUCGAUACGAGCAAACUAGAGUGUUGCAGGGGAGACUGGAAUUCCUGGUGUAGCGGUGAAAUGCGCAGAUAUCAGGAGGAACACCAAUGGCGAAGGCAGCUCGCUGGAACGGUACUGACGCGUGGAGGCGCGAAAGCCGUGGGGAGCGAACAGGA